rnacentral:tRNA from 1 species
UAUUCAAAGAUUAAAUAAUCUCUUUUACAGCUUCAAUGUAAUACUCUUUUAUAAGUUAUUUGAAU